rnacentral:rRNA from 1 species
UCAGGAUGAACGCUGGCGGCGUGCUUAACACAUGCAAGUCGAACGGAGUUAUGGAGAGAGAGUGAGGUGCUUGCACCAAGUGAUCAUUUCAUAACUUAGUGGCGGACGGGUGAGUAACGCGUGGGUAACCUGCCAUAUACAGGGGGAUAACACUUAGAAAUAGGUGCUAAAACCGCAUAAGCGCACAGCUUCGCAUGAAGCAGUGUGAAAAACUCCGGUGGUAUAUGAUGGACCCGCGUCUGAUUAGCCAGUUGGCAGGGUAACGGCCUACCAAAGCGACGAUCAGUAGCCGGCCUGAGAGGGUGAACGGCCACAUUGGGACUGAGACACGGCCCAAACUCCUACGGGAGGCAGCAGUGGGGAAUAUUGCACAAUGGGGGAAACCCUGAUGCAGCGACGCCGCGUGAGUGAAGAAGUAUUUCGGUAUGUAAAGCUCUAUCAGCAGGGAAGAAAAUGACGGUACCUGAGUAAGAAGCCCCGGCUAACUACGUGCCAGCAGCCGCGGUAAUACGUAGGGGGCAAGCGUUAUCCGGAUUUACUGGGUGUAAAGGGAGCGUAGACGGCGAGACAAGUCUGAAGUGAAAACCCGGGGCUCAACCCUGGGACUGCUUUGGAAACUGCCUGGCUGGAGUGCAGGAGAGGUAAGUGGAAUUCCUAGUGUAGCGGUGAAAUGCGUAGAUAUUAGGAGGAACACCAGUGGCGAAGGCGGCUUACUGGACUGUAACUGACGUUGAGGCUCGAAAGCGUGGGGAGCAAACAGGAUUAGAUACCCUGGUAGUCCACGCCGUAAACGAUGAUCACUAGGUGUUGGGGGCCUACAGGCCUUCGGUGCCGUCGCAAACGCAAUAAGUGAUCCACCUGGGGAGUACGUUCGCAAGAAUGCAACUCAAAGGAA